rnacentral:rRNA from 1 species
UUAAAUUUGAAGAAGUUUGAUCAUGGCUCAGAUUGAACGCUGGCGGCAGGCCUAACACAUGCAAGUCGAACGGUAACAGAAAGA